rnacentral:rRNA from 1 species
GAUCUGAGUGAUUUGGGGAUGUUGCUGGCCUCUCUUGAGGGGCAAUGUGCACUCUCCGAAACAAUUCACGAUUUCCAUCACACCCCUUGUGCACAUCCUGUAGGGCAAAGUCACCCCUCCCUCAAGGGUGGGGCUGGUUGUCCUAUGUAUUCUCUCAUCUAACACAUUUCGAAUGGUGCUCUUGGAUGCAUCUUGUGGAUUAUUUGUGAAACAAAGUAAUCAUGUAAAACAACUUUCAACAAUGGAUCUCUUGGCUCUCGCAUCGAUGAAGAACGCAGCGAAAUGCGAUACGUAAUGUGAAUUGCAGAAUUCCGUGAAUCAUCGAAUCUUUGAACGCACCUUGCGCCUCUUGGUAUUCCGAGGGGCAUGCCUGUUUGAGUGUCAUGAAACCAUCAAUGGGGGGACCUUUCUUUUAGAGAGGCCUCCUCCUUUGAAUGUGGAGUGUGCUGGCUUGUUCAGCUCCUCUGAAAUGCAUUAGCGAUGUGGUGUUCCACCUGCUCGAGCUUCGUUGGCAUUGAUAGUCAUUCAUGUCAGAGUUGUUCAGCUGUGGCAAGGUCCACUUGCUCCUAAUUGUCGAUGGACUCCUCCAUCCUUUGACUCCUUAUAACCUCAAAUCAGGCAGGACUACCCGCUGAACUUAAGCAUAUCU